rnacentral:lncRNA from 1 species
UCCUCACUGCUCGCAGUGUCCACAGGCAGCCGCAGCAGUAUCUGGGAGUUUAUUAGAUAUGUAGGAUGGCAGACCCACUGCAGGCCUCCUGAGUCAGAAUCUGUCCUUUAAAAAGAUCCCCAGACCAAUAGGAAUUAAAUCCAAGAAGCAAAGCUUUGUAAAAUAUGGUGCAGGUCAACCACAAACAUUUCAAAGGGCACCACCAUUGAGACAACCCGGAAGUGGAGGAAACAAUUGAACAACAUUAGAGUCAAGUGAGAGUUGACUGUGAAGGCAUGGGGAGUUUCACAGUGACUCCUGGGUUUUGAGCUUUUGUGAAGACAACAAAAGAUGCCUCUUGAUUUUAAUUUUUCUAAUCAGCCUUCCCAAAUUUAUUAUGGAAAAUUACUUUAAGUGUUUAUACUUUCCACCUCUUCUCUGUAUGAUCUGUAUAAAAUAAAAUUACUUUACAUGA